AUGUAUAUUCCUACAACAUAGCAUUAAUGCAUCGGAUCCCAUUAUAACUCUUUAGUUAAGCGUGCUCAGGCUACAAUAGUACUGGGAUGGGUGACCGAUCAAGAAGUCCUAGUGUUUUACAUG
rfam:Picea glauca, whole genome shotgun sequence.